AGCGAACGCGUGGCGGCAGGCUUAACACAUGCAAGUCGAGCGGGGCGUAGCAAGUACGUCAGCGGCAGACGGGUGAGUAACGCGUGGGAACGUACCUUUUGGUUCGGAACAACACAGGGAAACUUGUGCUAAUACCGGAUAAGCCCUUACGGGGAAAGAUUUAUCGCCGAAAGAUCGGCCCGCGUCUGAUUAGCUAGUUGGUAGGGUAAUGGCCUACCAAGGCGACGAUCAGUAGCUGGUCUGAGAGGAUGAUCAGCCACAUUGGGACUGAGACACGGCCCAA
rnacentral:rRNA from 1 species